CUGUAGAUCUGAGUGUCAUCUGCAUAAUUGUGGUAGGACACAUUGUUGCUGCAUAUUAGCUGACCCAAUGGAAGCAUGUAUAGAUUGAACAGGAGGGGUCCCAAGAUAGACUCCUGGGGAACCCCACAGGUCACAGCCAUUCUGUCUGAGACAUAGUUACCAAUUUAAACAAAGUAUACAACACAGGUGCA